GGCGAACGCUGGCGGCGUGCUUAACACAUGCAAGUCGAGGGGUAGAACACUUCGGUGUUUGAGACCGGCGCACGGGUGCGUAACGCGUAUGUAAUCUACCUUGUACAGGGGAAUAGCCCAGAGAAAUUUGGAUUAAUGCCCCAUAGUAUAUAACCUUCGCAUGUUGGUUAUAUUAAAGUUCCAACGGUACAAGAUGAGCAUGCGUCCCAUUAGUUAGUUGGUAAGGUAACGGCUUACCAAGACGAUGAUGGGUAGGGGUCCUGAGAGGGAGAUCCCCCACACUGGUACUGAGACACGGACCAGACUCCUACGGGAGGCAGCAGUGAGGAAUAUUGGUCAAUGGUCGCAAGACUGAACCAGCCAUGCCGCGUGCAGGAAGACGGUCCUAUGGAUUGUAAACUGCUUUUAUACAGGAAGAAACCCUCCCACGUGUGGGAGCUUGACGGUACUGUAGGAAUAAGGAUCGGCUAACUCCGUGCCAGCAGCCGCGGUAACAC
rnacentral:rRNA from 1 species